rnacentral:pre_miRNA from 1 species
UGUAAGUCGUUUGACUUUUUUUACCCUAAGUUUGACCACUCGUCUUAUUCAAAGUUUUGUACAAAAUAUCACUUUUUUUGUUGUGUAUUGGUUUAUUAAUAAAAGUUCUUCAAGAAUGACUUAAAUUUGACUAUAUUUUCACAAAUUUUUUGAAUAAGACGAGUGGUCAAACUUGGGGUAAAAAAAGUCAAACGACUUACA